ACCAGGUGUUGUAACAGGGUCACCAGGUGUUGUAACAGUGUCACCAGGUGUUGUAACAGGGUCACCAGGUGUUGUAACAGGGUCACCAGGUGUUGUAACAGGGUCACCAGGUGUUGUACCAGGGUCACCAGGUGUUGUAACAGGGUCACCAGGUGUUGUACCAGGGUCACCAGGUGUUGUAACAGGGUCACCAGGUGUUGUAACAGGGUCACCAGGUGUUGUAACAGGGUCACCAGGUGUUGUUGUCAGUACUGUACCUGAGUAACUUGUUGUAACAGGGUCACCAGGUGUUGUAACAGGGUCACCAGGUGUUGUGUUGUAACAGGGUCACCAGGUGUUGUGUUGUAACAGGGUCACCAGGUGUUGUAACAGGGUCACCAGGUGUUGUAACAGGGUCACCAGGUGUUGUGUUGUAACAGGGUCACCAGGUGUUGUGUUGUAACAGGGUCACCAGGUGUUGUGUUGUAACAGGGUCACCAGGUGUUGUGUUGUAACAGGGUCACCAGGUGUUGUAACAGGGUCACCAGGUGUUGUAACAGGGUCACCAGGUGUUGUAACAGGGUCACCAGGUGUUGUGUUGUAACAGGGUCACCAGGUGUUGUGUUGUAACAGGGUCACCAGGUGUUGUGUUGUAACAGGGUCACCAGGUGUUGUAACAGGGUCACCAGGUGUUGUAACAGGGUCACCAGGUGUUGUAACAGGGUCACCAGGUGUUGUGUCAGGGUCACCAGGUGUUGUAACAGGGUCACCAGGUGUUGUAACAGGGUCACCAGGUGUUGUAACAGGGUCACCAGGUGUUGUUGUCAGUACUGUACCUGAGUAACUUGUUGUAACAGGGUCACCAGGUGUUGUAACAGGGUCACCAGGUGUUGUAACAGGGUCACCAGGUGUUGUUGUCAGUACUGUACCUGAGUAACUUGUUGUAACAGGGUCACCAGGUGUUGUUGUCAGUACUGUACCUGAGUAACUUGUUGUAACAGGGUCACCAGGUGUUGUUGUCAGUACUGUACCUGAGUAACUUGUUGUAACAGGGUCACCAGGUGUUGUUGUCAGUACUGUACCUGAGUAACUUGUUGUAACAGGGUCACCAGGUGUUGUAACAGGGUCACCAGGUGUUGUAACAGGGUCACCAGGUGUUGUAACAGGGUCACCAGGUGUUGUUGUCAGUACUGUACCUGAGUAACUUGUUGUAACAGGGUCACCAGGUGUUGUUGUCAGUACUGUACCUGAGUAACUUGUUGUAACAGGGUCACCAGGUGUUGUAACAGGGUCACCAGGUGUU